rnacentral:tRNA from 1 species
CUAUUAAAGUGUCUGAGUUGCAAUUAGAUGAUGUGGGCGCAGCUUGCAGGUCUUC